rnacentral:rRNA from 1 species
UACGGAGGGCGCAAGCGUUGCUCGGAAUCACUGGGCGUAAAGCGCACGCAGGCGGCCUGAUAAGUCGGGUGUGAAAGCCCUGGGCUCAACCCAGGAACUGCAUUCGAUACUGCCAGGCUUGAGUUCGGGAGAGGGUGGUGGAAUUCCUGGUGUAGAGGUGAAAUUCGUUGAUAUCAGGAGGAACACCGGCGGCGAAGGCGGCCACCUGGCCCGAUACUGACGCUCAUGUGCGAAAGCGUGGGGAGCAAACAGG